rfam:Brassica napus, WGS project CCCW01000000 data, contig: 4477
CAAAAAUCGGACGUGACGGUCUUGGUUUUGGAUUUUUAUGGGAAGGGCCGGAAGGUCACGUGCAUGGUCUUUAAGCCGCCGUAAAGAUAUAGUUGAAAGACAGGAUUUUCCUCCGUCACGGCCUGAGAAGUUUGA